GAGUAGAACAUGCGGCCAACUUGAACAUGUUCCAGCAUGUCGUGACUAGAACCGUGCAGAGGGUAAGAAUAUAGACAUUAACGGGAUAUUUUUGUCCAAAUAUUUGCUUCAACAACCCUACUUUUUGUUGUUGUUGCCUUGCACACAUUAAACACAUAUCCAGAUGUGGGCGAGCAUUGUCAAGAUGAACAAGAGAUGAGAAGCGCAGGUGAAUUUUUAGGGAACUUUUUUGCAAACUUUCCUGAAAGAGCCAAAAACCCAAAGCAGAGCAGAGCAAAUUCAAGACCCGGGGCGACGGCAGAGCUUUGCCUGUGUUCAGUUCCUGAAGACACAGCAAUGACAGCUGGCUUUCAAUCAUGCUCCUCUGUCUUCAGCUGAGAAAAACAAGCACCUCUUGCUGAGUCCUGAUUGGUGAGAGUGUGCAGGGCUCAGUCACAUGGCUACUUUCAAUAUGAUUUGUGUAUUUAUUAGGGGCGGGGUCUCGUUGCACCAAGCCACACCCACACCACAGUGGUCGAUUUCAAGUUGAUUGCGAUGUAAAUACAAAUGUGCUCGGAUUUGUACGUGCAAUAAAUUGAAUACAUCUGAA